rnacentral:rRNA from 1 species
AUUGAACGCUGGCGGCAGGCCUAACACAUGCAAGUCGAACGAGUGGCGGACGGGUGAGUAAUGUCUGGGAAACUGCCUGAUGGAGGGGGAUAACUACUGGAAACGGUAGCUAAUACCGCAUACCAUCAUAUGUGCCCCGAUGGGAUUAGCUAGUAGGUGGGGUAAUGGCUCACCUAGGCGCCGAUCCCUAGCUGGUCUGAGAGGAUGACCCGCCAAACUGGAACUGGGACACGUGCCAGACUCCUACGGGAGGAAGCGGUGGGUAAUAUUGGAAAAUGGGCGCAAGCCUGAUGCAGAAAUGCCGCGUGUGUGAGGAAGGCCUUCGGGUUGUAAAGCACUUUCAUCGAGGAGGCGUUAAUCGCAGAAGAAGCACCGGCUAACUACGUGCCAGCAGCCGCGGUAAUAC